rnacentral:lncRNA from 1 species
AUGGAUGUUGCACAGAAGUCAAUGGCUGGGACUCUUCAUGAAGCUGGAGAAUCAUCAAAGCAAGCGAUGAAUGAAGAAAGGAAUACCCAACUUCAUAUCGAUUUGGAAAAGCCCAACAAGGAUAGCACCAACAGAUCACUGCAUCAAGCUCUUAAACAUCAACAGUUAUCUGCUAAAUCCACCAGAGAUGAAACCCAUUCAGAAAAGUCAGGUAAUUUACUAUCAAGAAUCUCCAUCCUUUCUACUCCCAAAUUUCAACUCAUCUUGGGUUCUAAUUUGAAGUUUUUGAUCUUCCGUUCUCAGCUCAACCAAGUUCUUUGCCAAUGCCAAUGUCUGUGGCUAACUGGCCUCCAAUGGGGUAAGCUGAAAAAGACAUCAACUUUUUCUUAUUCUUCUUCUUCUUCUUCUUUAUUUCUUUUAAUAGAAAGAACAAAUGUUAAUCAUAUGUGAAUUUGCAGAUAUGUGGCACCAUUGCAGGGAGUGAUAUCCAUGGAUGGAAACACCAUGCCUUCUGCUCCAAUUCAGGUACUUCUCAUUUAAUUUCUUUAGCACCCAAAUCCAACAUUUCUAAAUGAUGCAUUUCUUUUACAGCCAAUAUUCACACAUCCAAGGCCAAAAAGAUGUGCCACACAUUGCUACAUUGCAAGAAACAUUCACUACCUUCAGCAAUUCAUGAAGAUAAAUCCAUUCUGGCCAGCUGCAUCUGGAUCUGCACCCAUGUUUGGGGCCAAACCCUGCAAUCUAAAUGUCAUGCCUUCAACUGAACUCCAUGGAAACAUCACUGGAGGUCAGUUGCAGCCAUUGCAACAAGACAAGGGUCCCGGAAUCGGAAUCUUCACCGGAAAAGACAACAAAUCUUCUCAAUCCACCACCAUUCCUGAUCCUGCUCAGAGAAAGCAACAGGUUUUGCUUCAGCAAGCAUUGCCCCCCGUCACCCCUAAUAAUAUUCUUGUAAGUUGGUUAACUCUAAAAUUUUGACUGUAUAAUGUGUAUGUUUUUAAGAGUUUUUGAUAAGUUUUUUUUUCAGCAUGGACCUACUUUCAUCUUCCCCUUCAAUCAGCAACAGGCGGUGGCGGCUGCUUCUGCCUCUGUUCGACCUGGUUCUUCUAAGCUUUCUACUGGAGCACCAGGUGGUUUGGGUGGUGGUGCUUCAGGUGCCGCCAGUUCAGCCACUGUUAGCAGCUCCACAACAGCAGCUGCUCCGGCCUUGAGCUUCAAUUACCCAAACAUGGGGGCCAAUGAAACCCAGUAUCUGGCAAUUUUACAAAACAAUCCUUACUCUUUCCCGAUACCUGCAGCAGUAGGAGCCCCACCAAAUUACAGAGCCAACCCUCAUGCCCAACCCAUGCCUAUGUUCAAUGGCUCUUUCUAUCCUUCUCAAAUGAUACACCCGUCCCAGAUUCCACAACCACCGCCACCCCAACAGGCCCCACCAGCUCAACCUCAAAAUCACCACCCUUCUCAGCCACAGCAAAUCCAACAAACCCACCAGAACAGCAGCGGAUCCACCUCCUCGUCACAGAAACAUUUGCAAAAUCAGCAGCGGCAGCAGCAAGGCGGCAAUGUUGGUGGUGCUGCUGUUAAUGGCGGUGGCACUGGAAAUGGUGGUGCCAGUUUGCAUAACAGCUAUCCUUCCCAUCCUUCCCACAAAAGUCGAUCACAGUCAUCUCAGCAGCAGCAGCAGCAGCAGAAUCAGGGUCAGCACAUGAACCUGCCCCCGCAAUCACGCCACCUUGAAAAUGAGGUGGCUGGUGGUGGUGGUGAGGAUAGUCCAUCCACCGCUGAGAGUCGGGUAUCUAGGGCGGCAACCACCAUGAGUGUUUAUGGUCAUAAUUUUGCUAUGCCGGUUCACUCACAGAGUUUUGCUUUGAUGAAUCCUCAAGCUGCAGCUCUGUCUAAUGCUGCAGCUGUCAACAACUCGAAUGAUAAAAAACAGCAGCAGCAUCAGCAUCAGCAUCAGCAACAGCAAUCUCAGCAAGCGGGGUUAAAAAGAGGUGGUGUGGAGUCGUCUUUACCACCACCUCAAACUUUUGCCAUGUCUUUUGCUCCUAUGAAUGGUACCACUGGUACCAUGUCAUCCAUGGCUCAAAACCACGCCAUUUUCCAGAGUUUGCCAGAAUCAUUGAGACAAAGCUAUCAUCAGAUAAUGACAGCACCUCCAGUUGCCCAUUCUCAACAGAAGAAGGAUUUCAGAAUAUCUGAAGAAGCUACCCGGGCAGCAGGUGGUCAUGAGUCCUCUUCAAAUGCAGAUGAAGACCGAAAGGGCAGUUCGGGGUUGACCGGGAAGUCCGGGCAGUCCAUUGCGUUUUCAAGGCCAGAUCUUGCCCCAGAUGUUUCCGGUGGUUCAUCUCCAGCCAUCCCUGGGACUUCAGUGAUUGAUAGCUCUUCCAGGAACAUAAACCUGGGUUCAAAUAAUCGGUCAACCAGAUCACCCUCUGUUGCAUCUUCUCAAUCCUCCCAUCAUUUACAUGCUCAAUUCCAGCAGCAACAGCAGGUCUUUCAGCUUCAGAAGCAACAGCAGCAACAGCAGCAACAGCAACAGCAACAGAACCACAACAUGGCUGCUGCCCGAAGUAAAAACCCAAACCCAAACGCAAACCCGCCCUCAGGUAAUGGGGGUGCUGCCUACCCUGACCACCUAAUAACUUCAUCUUCAUCCAUGGCUGCCAAAUUUCCAAACUCUCUUUCUUCUUUCCCACAAAACUUAGUCCAAACCAGCAACACCAGUAGCAGCCCGGUUCAAUCCCCGCAAUGGAGAAACUCAGUAAGGGGUCCCGCCACAUCGUCUCAACCACCAACCACCUCCUCCCUCAAAAACCUCCAUCAAUCCCAACACCAACAGCCUAACCGAUCCUCCCACCCGCAAUCACACACUCAGAUUUCCUUCGGUGGUGCCGCCAGUCAGAAACUACCUUCCACCACCUCAUCACAUCAACAGAAUCCUAGUAGC